AGUUGCUGCUGGUCGUGAAUGAAAUAUAUUUUUCACUCGGGAAGUGCUGCAUUUGAAAGAUAUCCUUAACUCAUACCUGUUAAAUUGACUAUACGGAACAAAUAUGAGGUGGAUUUCAAUGGUCUUGCUUUUCCAGCUUACGAUUUGUGUCAAAUCCCAGGAAUAUCCAUUCCAGUUAGGACCAAAUCUAAGAUUCAACUCUGAUGCAUACCAAGAAAAUAUGGCUUACAACGAUGUUUUCUCUAAUGAACCACCUACGCUGGAAUUCAAAAAAUCAAAUUUUCAAACAUCGGAAAAAAUGAAGCCUCAAAUUGAUGUAUUUACCCCACUUCGAAAGCUGCUAGAGGAACUACAAAAGAAGUAUCAAGAGAGAUAUAAUUUAUAGAAUUAAUAUAACUUUUUUAUUAUCCUCAAUUAAGUCUGUGCUUGCAACACACAUUUUAUUGGGAGUGUCUUUAGAAAAUGUGUAUUUUAAAGCU